rnacentral:rRNA from 1 species
CCCAGACUCCUACGGGAGGCAGCAGUGGGGAAUAUUGCACAAUGGGGGAAACCCUGAUGCAGCAACGCCGCGUGAGUGAAGAAGUCAUUCGUGAUGUAAAGCUCUAUCAGCAGGGAAGAAAAUGACGGUACCUGAGUAAGAAGCCCCGGCUAACUACGUGCCAGCAGCCGCGGUAAUACGUAGGGGGCAAGCGUUAUCCGGAUUCACUGGGUGUAAAGGGAGCGUAGACGGCCAUGCAAGCCUGGAGUGAAAGCCCGGGGCCCAACCCCGGGACUGCUCUGGGAACUGUGCGGCUGGAGUGCGGGAGGGGCAGGCGGAAUUCCUGGUGUAGCGGUGAAAUGCGUAGAUAUUAGGAGGAACACCAGUGGCGAAGGCGGCCUACUGGACGGUGACUGACGCUGAGGCUCGAAAGCGUGGGGAGCAAACAGGAUUAGAUACCCGCGUACC